rnacentral:misc_RNA from 1 species
GAUGAAGAACGUAGCGAAAUGCGAUACGUAAUGUGAAUUGCAAAUUCAGUGAAUCAUCGAGUCUUUGAACGCACAUUGCGCCCCCUGGUAUUCCGGGGGGCAUGCCUGUCCGAGCGUCAUUGCUGCCCUCAAGCACGGCUUGUGUGUUGGGCCCCGUCCUCCGAUCCCGGGGGACGGGCCCGAAAGGCAGCGGCGGCACCGCGUCCGGUCCUCGAGCGUAUGGGGCUUUGUCACCCGCUCUGUAGGCCCGGCCGGCGCUUGCCGAUCAACACAAAUUUUUUAUCCAGGUUGACCUCGGAUCAGGUAGGGAUACCCGCUGAACUUAAGCAUAUCAAUAAGCGGAGGA